UACGUAGGGGGCGAGCGUUGUCCGGAUUUAUUGGGCGUAAAGAGCGUGUAGGCGGCCAGGUAGGUCUGCUGUGAAAACUCGAGGCUCAACCUCGAGACGUCGGCGGAAACCAUCUGGCUAGAGUCCGGAAGAGGAGAGUGGAAUUCCUGGUGUAGCGGUGAAAUGCGUAGAGAUCAGGAGGAACACCCAUGGCGAAGGCAGCACGCUGGUCCGACCCUGACGCUGAGACGCGAAAGCGUGGGGAGCGAACGGG
rnacentral:rRNA from 1 species